AUAUUGCACAAUGGGGGAAACCCUGAUGCAGCGACGCCGCGUGAGCGAGAAAGGCCUUCGGGUCGUAAAGCUCUGUCCUUAGGGAAGAAACGGCCGGUACCUUAGGAGGAAGCCCCGGCUAACCACGUGCCAGCAGCCGCGGUAAUACGUAGGGGGCAAGCGUUGUCCGGAAUUAUUGGGCGUAAAGGGUGCGUAGGCGGCCUUUUAAGUCAGAUGUGAAGGCCCACGGCUUAACCGUGGGACUGCAUUUGAAACUGGAGGGCUUGAGUAUCGGAGAGGGUAGUGGAAUUCCCAGUGUAGCGGUGGAAUGCGUAGAUAUUAGGAGGAACACCAGUGGCGAAGGCGACUACCUGGACGAAAACUGACGCUGAGGCACGAAAGCUAGGGGAGCAAAC
rnacentral:rRNA from 1 species